UUUGUGAGUACUCAAGUGCCCUCCAAACCCAUCGGUCGCCCCCACCGCCAUUUCCGUCCAAACACUUCGACCCCGAAAACCCUCGACGCCGCCGUCUCUAGCCAUGGCGCUCUUCGCCGCCGCCGCCCGCCGCGCCGCCACAUCCUCCCUCCCCCUGCUCCGUGCCUCCGUAUCACACGGCGGCAUUACCCUGCCCCGGGCUCUGGCCGGCGCCGCGGCGCGGCCGAUGCCCUUCUCGUCGGCGACCGGGGUGAAGCCGAGCUCCGGUGACGAUCUCCCCCCGCGUCAUCAAGUCCGAGACCAACCUGGCCGAGCAAUGCGACGACCACGACCCGGACGACAAGAAUUCCGUGUCAUCUUCACACGAGUCCUCGCCAUCUGUGGAUGAGUCUUCAUCAUCUUCAGUUAGGAAUCAAGAAGACGAAGGCGAGAACCGCCCAAAAGAACACGGCCGUCGUCUGACGUGGUUCUACGAGAUGGGUGAUGACUCGAGCGUGAAAUUCUCCUGCAUCGUAUAUCCAGCAUAGCACAAGAUCGUCGUCAAAGCCUUAGCCCUGAGGCCGCCACCACCAUUUGAUCAGGAGUCGGAUGAAGAGGUUGAUUCUACUGAAUCCGAAGAGGUUGAUUCUACUGAAUCCCCUGAGGUUGCUUUUAGUGAAUCCGAAGAGGUUGUUGAGUUCAGCAAGCUGGAUGUGAAACUGCAGCUUGCACUGUACAAGCUUGUGAAGGCGCUGGGUUAUGAUACUCCCGGGGUCACAGAAGUGUUGCAGGAGCCCACGAUGAGCAAAGACCGGCCCCGGCUUCUCUUCUGGGAGACCGAGCUGUGGGAUUUCCUCAACAAAGAUGCAAUGGUACUUGUUUACUACCUAUGUAUUACAAAUGUUGCUUUUAAGUUUUGGACAACUUAUUGUUGAAAGCUUAGUUUAUGGGGCUAACUUCACAAAUUGUUCUGGCAUGGUAUCUAAUUAAUGAAUUGGCAUAGUUUAGUGUAAAAUGGUGCACCCACGUUGUGGGAGGAAAAACAUGACGGUUAGAAAAUAAUUGGGUUGCCUGGCCUAUUUGGCACACUUUCCUAAUUUCAAAUUUACUGUGAACAAGUUCCUAUUGAUUUUAGGAGUGUUGGGUUGUUGUCCAGGACAUCAUCUAAAUUUACUGGGAGCAAGUUUCCUGUUCAUGUUAAAGUGUCGCGUUGUUGUUCAGAACCUCAUUUUCCCCAUCUAAAACAGGGUGCGUCCCGCCGAGCCCCCCAUCCGAAUCCUCAUUAGUGUUGCUGUUGUCCAUCUAUCGUUGGCUUGCAGCCAGAAUCCUUUUGUGAUGUUCUCAGAGGGAGCUAAUUGAGUGAUCCAUUGCCGUGAGGUGGCUGAGCUUUCGAUUGGGAUUACCCUGUAGUGGUAGAAAUGGUGAUGUAUAUGAUACUCUCCAUUCAAAAGUGUUUUUUUAGGGGAAAAGCUUCCCCUCAGCCGGCGGAUCGCACACAAAGCGUCCGUCGCCUUGUACGCCCACCACGUGCUAUGCUAGGCUGCAACCUUAUCCCUUUGUCUCUGCCUUCAGCCGGCGGAUCGCACAGUAAACAGUUCCCUCAACAUGAUCUUUGUUGCAAAAAAAAAAACAGCCACAUGGUCUCUGUUGCGAAAAGUUUUGCAAACAUUUUCGCAACAUGAUCUUUGUUGCGAAAACAUUCCGCAACAUGACCUUUGUUGCAAAAACAUUCAGCAACAUGACCUUUGUUGCAAAGGUUUCUGCAACAUGACUUUUGUUCCAAACAUUUCUGCAACAAUAGCUCUGUUGCAAUAAUGAAGGUUGUCUGUCAGCCGCUUGAUGGGGCGGGAUCUUGCGGCUCGCGACCCGGCCGAUCUUUCAAAAAGAUCAGCCGGCAGACGUGUAGCACGGCCCUUUUUUAGGCAAUUCAGGAAUUGUGUUACUCUGGUCAUGCCCAUAUCUUCCUGCUGCAGUUGACAGUGUAAUUCGAAGUGCAGAGUAGUCUCCGGUAGUACGAUCUGUACGUUCACCUAGCUAACUUUGGUCAUGUUUUUUUUUAUCUCAGUUCCUCACUGUACAUGUUAACUGCAAUUGUUCCCACGAGAACUCUGUACUCUUGUGUCUUUUGCUGCUGUUGUAUGGCUCUGUCAUGGACUCAUGGUAUUUAUGUUCGGGUUGCUCUUACUUAUUUUGCUGCUGCUUGAGGUUCUAUUUCAGUAAAAUUUGUGUGAUAUUCUUGGCUGGACUGAUUUGUUUUCACAGUUAAGAACAUCUUUUAUCUUAUCAAUUGACAGCUUGCACGCUUGAUGUACCAAACUAUCUAUGUACCGUUGUGUAAAAUGAUGCACUGUUAAAUUUUCUGCAUGUUUUUACUUUUUUCUGCGAUGACAAGGGGUACUGGUUAUUUUUCUGAACUUCUCCAGUCAUGCACCGAGUCGAGUUUAUGGUCCAAGUAAUCCGUUUUUACCAUGUGCUGAUGAUACUUCAUUUUUUACAUGCACGUGUUAUAUCAUAUUGCCUUCAAGUUUUACCCUACUUAGUGUUAUCAUAUAUUCCUUAAAUCCUGCUGGAAUCUUUAGAUGUAGUAGGACAGAAGGAAGAUGCUUUAGUUUUUUUACUGUGUGUGAAAUGCAGUUGUUUUUUUCUAGUCGCGCAGAGUUAUUGCAAUUCAGUAAUGUAAUCUUCAAGGACAUCUCAAGGAUGUAGCAUUUCAAGCAAGGAUUUAUUCAUCCCUUAAAUCCUGCUUGAGAAACCAAGCUGGGAUCUUUAAGGGAUUUCUUCAUCCCUUAAAUCCUGUGUGUGAAGUGCCAUUGUUUUUUUUUUCUAGUCACGUAGUGUUAUCGAGAUUCAGUAAUGUAAUCUUGAAGGCCUUCUCAAAGGAGUAUGAAUUUUAGAGGGAAACAUGUCAGUUGGAAAAAAAUGAGUUGCAUGUCCUAUUUGUUUUGCAGUGAACACUAGUAUUUUUUACUUUGAAUAUUACUGUGAGCAAGUUUUCUGUUCAUUUUUGGAGGAGGUAAUAGCAUCCCAGGUACCCUAACUUGCACUCAAUGUGAUGAUUUAGUCCCAAAGUUGCAAAACUUGACCAAACCAUACCCCAACUUGCACCUCAUGUGAUGAUUUAGUCCCAGGCCAAUCACAGCUCGCCAAUUGGCUGCCAAGUGGCUGGACCGGUCAGCACACGCAGUUUUGCAGAAAACCCCCUGCCGUCUCCAAUUAUCAACCCGCAGUCACCCCCACCUGAAUUAAAUCUGUCGACGGCGCCCCCACCGCCACCGCUGCGGACGCGGAUGCCACGCUCGGCGAGCUCGCCUCCAACCUCUGACGCGUACGCCGACGCCGACGCCACGAUGCGCUGCUCACGCAGCAGUUCCCGGUCCGCCCCAGAUCCCAGGCCCAUGCCCUCGACCGCGUCAUGGCCAUCAAGCUGUUGGAGGAGCACCUCAUCCCGCGCUGCGUCGAGUGCCUCGCCAGUGGCAAGGCCCCCGUCCCUGGCAAGACCCCCGACUCCUCCACCUCCUAGCCGGACAGCAGCCCCGACAGGGACGACCCGGACCCAGUCGCGGCCGCCACCGAGGCCCUCGCCAAGGUCGACCUCUCCGACGACCCGGACACCACCGCCACCGCCAAGUCCGGCUCCAGCAAGCCCCGUCAGGCAGCCAGAGGCGGCGGCGGUGACGUGGGCAAGUCACUCGACUACCUGUACCGCGCGUGCAGGAUCGCUCGCCGUGAAGCACAUUGACAUCGCCGUCUCCGUCCUCUCCCUCUUCAUGGAGCCCAAGAAGCUCGCCAGCCUCGCCGAGUGACGCGUACGUGAGUCAUCUUGCUCUGUUAUGUUUCUAGCCAUGGAGGAUUUACUGCUAGUAGUGCGUAGUGGUUUGGAUGAGUGAUUUGGGUAGUCGUUUAGUUCAAUAGAGGUUCAGAUGAGAGAUGAGCACUGUGUUCUGUACUUCUGAUUGCAUUAUGUGGCACCGAAUGGUUGUUGCCUAGCUUAUCCAGUGCGACUUGAAUGAAUUUUGGUGCGAAUUUGGUUGAUCUUCUUGUUCUCUGUUCCGACUGUUUGUUCAACUUCUGUUGUUGCUUGUGCUAAUUUUUUUCCUGCAUGCAUCAGUUACUGUUUAGAUGGCUCAAUUCACUUUCAGUUUUUACUCUGAAUCAUCCUAUGCAUAUAAGGAAUGUUGUUCAGUUGUUAGAAUUCUGUUUGAAAAGCGUGAGCGUUUGAUGAUCAGGCACAGGACCGGAUGCCACAAACUCACUGCAAUGAUCAUUUCGUUCUUCUAUUAUGAUAUACUCCGCGCAUAUUUAUGUGUUUUGUCAGUCCCCUGGAGGUCCUGCAGGCGGUGCUGGAGUUGCAGGAGGCGGUCGCGGUGUCCUGCGGGCUAAAUUGCUAACUGAAUGUCUUUGUCAGUCCCCUUUCGGUUAUGGCUCAUGAACUUAAUUACAGUGUUCAUCUUGUUUCUGUUCUGUUAAGGUGUGCAUGAUUGAUCGACUGCAUGUUCUGUUUUUGCACCGUGGAUCAUGUAGGACGAAUGUCAUUCAGAUACAGGAUCAGCCUUACUGAAACUCUUUGAUAUUCUCGCCUUUUCGGUUUUGACUGAUGAACUCACCUCGGUUAAAUUCUAGCUUAUGACAGAAAUGUUGGUAGCUGCGCUAAGCUUCAGGAUUUUAUCAGUACUUAGGAUUGAUCAACUACAGAACCUGACUAAAGUUACUUUAAUUGUGUCCCAUCAAACAGUUUUUGGAGAGUUGGUUGCUGGGCUAAGUUAGUUUCUGUUGGUUGCUAGGCAAUUUCCUAGUUGUGUCUGAUCAAGCAGUUUUCUAGAGUUGUGCAAAUGCAACUUAAUGUUGGUCAGGUUCUGUAGAAUUAUGCACUGAUAAACUUGUCAUCGUACAUGGUCUUUAUUUAUCGUGUUACCACUCUCGUUUAAAUGCAUUUGUUUUUGGAGACAAGGCAGUGAAAGGAGGUGCAGAGUAACAUGUUUCAGAUUACAUGCAUGUUAAGUACACAAGCCCUACUUUGCAUUUUGCCCAGCGACGUUGCCUCUAUACCAUGUUUUAAACUGCUAAUUCUGCUGUAUAUGCCCUUCCUAGGGUCAUUAAUUUGUGAAUCACAGAAUAUGAGUAGUGUUGUAUUCGAGCUCUGAAUUUCGUACAGUAGAGCACACACACAUGACACAUGUACAAGUAGAGUAAUUCGUACCGUCGUGCUCAUCUCGGUCGCCGAUGCGGCCGGCGUCGCCCUCAUCGGAGUCAUCGUGGUGUACAUAUACUGGAAGCUGCGCGACCGGCGCGGGGACGACGACGACGAGGACGAGGAGGGGCGAGGGCUCUUCGCCUGCCCGUGCAUGCAUGCAAACACCUGCGGGGACUCGUCGGACAGGUCCGACGCGGGCGGUGGCGAGAAGAAACGCGGCAACGGUUCCGGGGGCGGAGGCGGCUGCGAGGACGGGGAGCUGGUGGCGAUCGACAAGGGGUUCCGGAUAGAGCUGGACGAGCUGCUGCGGUCGUCGGCGUACGUGCUGGGGAAGGGCGGGAAGGGGAUCGUGUACAAGGUGGUGGUGUGGUGGUGGGCAACGGGACGACGCCGGUGGCCGUGCGGCGGCUGGGCGGCGGCACCGCGGCCCCAGAGCGGUACAAGGAGUUCGCGGCGGAGGCCGGCGCCGUCGGGCGCGUGCGGCACGCCAACGUGGUGCGGCUGCGCGCCUACUACUGGUCGCCCGACGAGAAGCUCGUCGUCACCGACUUCAUCAACAACGGCAACCUCGCCUCCGCGCUGCGCGGGGGGUUUCUGCAAAACUGCGUGUGCUGACCGGUCCAGCCACUUGGCAGCCAAUUGGCGAGCUGUGAUUGGCCUGGGACUAAAUCAUCACAUGAGGUGCAAGUUGAGACAGAGAAGGCCCCAUCGAUGUCCCCUUUCAAAAUCACCGGCAAGGGGCUGGAGCUGAUGUCCGAAGAGGAGUACCUCCGCGUCAUCAAUUCUGGGAUCAAAUACGCCGUGGAGUGCAACAACUGCAACCGGGCUGACAAGAAAAUCACAGGAGAUGACGUGUAUAGGUACAUGAAGAUGCGCGGGGUCACGUCCUUCUCCCCCAAGUUCCUGCAAGAGACCAUACUCGACAAGCUCUAAGCGUAAGACAGGACAACAAAUCUGCUUUGCACAUCCUGUUCCGAGACCCCUACUACGAGCCUCUGAGCUAUAUAUAUGUUCGUGUAUCGUAGCGCGAUGUUAUUAAAGUUUAGAACGGUUCCUAGAGAAUACUUUGUUUAGUAGUAGUAGUAGUAGUAAUGCUGGUUCGGAAGAAAUAAUUAUGUAUAUGUUCUCCGUGAAUGCAUUUGUGGAGUAGGUUUGCUUUGCUAUCUUGUACUAGUAACCUACCGGUUGACGUCAUAUGGUCACAAUGGCUGUGUACACCCUUGUAAAUAGGUCUUAUAUUUUGGUAUGGAGGGCGUAGGUUAUUAAGGGCAUCUUCAAUGCCAAUCUGC